UACAAGGGAGAUUAGCAUUUUUCUUAAGUAUUAGGUUUAAAGGGUACCUAGACGGUUUUUAAUAAAAAACUAGAGUUUUAUAGAAGAGAAUAAUAUAGUACCACUAGAGGAGGGAUAAAAUAUGUUGAUACUUUUGGGACUGGUAAAGGUGAAGACAAUACUCUAUGAAAACUGACGUUGAGGGACGAAGGAUUGGAUAACGAA
rnacentral:rRNA from 1 species